rnacentral:rRNA from 1 species
AGUGAACGCUGGCGGUAGGCCUAACACAUGCAAGUCGAACGGCAGCACAGUAAGAGCUUGCUCUUACGGGUGGCGAGUGGCGGACGGGUGAGGAAUACAUCGGAAUCUACUUUUUCGUGGGGGAUAACGUAGGGAAACUUACGCUAAUACCGCAUACGACCUACGGGUGAAAGCAGGGGAUCUUCGGACCUUGCUCGAUUGAAUGAGCCGAUGUCGGAUUAGCUAGUUGGCGGGGUAAAGGCCCACCAAGGCGACGAUCCGUAGCUGGUCUGAGAGGAUGAUCAGCCACACUGGAACUGAGAAACGGUCCAGACUCAUACGGGAGGCAGCAGUGGGGAAUAUUGGACAAUUGGCGCAAGCCUGAUCAAGCCAUACCGCGUGGGUGAAGAAGGCCUUCGGGUUGUAAAGCCCUUUUGUUGGGAAAGAAAAGCAGCAGGUUAAUACCCCACUGUUCUGACGGUACCCAAAGAAUAAGCACCGGCUAACUUCGUG